UACAGAGGAUGCAAGCGUUAUCCGGAAUGAUUGGGCGUAAAGCGUCUGUAGGUGGCUUUUUAAGUCCGCCGUCAAAUCCCAGGGCUCAACUCUGGACAGGCGGUGGAAACUACCAAGCUGGAGUACGGUAGGGGCAGAGGGAAUUUCCGGUGGAGCGGUGAAAUGCGUAGAUAUGUGGAAGAACACCAGUGGCGAAGGCGGUUUUCUAGCUUAUUCCUGACGCUGAGGCGCGAAAGCAAGGGGAUCAAACAGG
rnacentral:rRNA from 1 species